rnacentral:lncRNA from 1 species
CCUCUUGCAUUCUUGCAUCCAACUUCUACACCUUGCAUAAAUUAUACUCUCCAUACUUAUCUUGCUCAUUGUUAAAUAAUCUUCAUAGUUGUAAGUUAAGUUUAAAUUUUUUUUAAAAAAUCUAAUUCACCCCCCCUCUUGGGUUACAUUGCUGGACAACAAAAAUUAUAAAUUAAAAAUUUAAAAAAAAAACCCCGACAUACAUGAUAUACCCAAUGUAAAAUAUAAUUAAAUAUUAAAAAUAAAAUUUUUUAAUUCACA